AUGUUCAGUAACAAGCAAGUCUCCACUGUUGGCGUCGAUCUUGGAAUAGAAAGAGUUUUCACAAUCAUUGAGCAACAGGAGAAAGAAAAUAACCAGGUUAUCCGGGCUAGCGUGACAGAGGUUUUAGUGUCGAUUCUAGGGAAGGACCUUAUAUUGGCCGCCGAGCUUGCGAAUGAGUUAUGGAGUGCUGGGAUAAAGGCAGAGUUCAAGCUCACCACCAGGGAGCUGGACCACAUAAAAGAAAAGGAGAGGAAGGAGAUGGAUGAGCAAGGACCAGAAGGACCAGAGGAAGAAGGGCAAGGGAGAUGGGGCGAUGUGCAUGUCCUUGCAGGGGGAAAUUCUAAUUUCUUUACAGCGGUGUUUGAACAAAAUGGCAUAUUCCGUGGGCUGGAUGAUAGAAGGACAUUUUGUUGA
rnacentral:rRNA from 1 species